UGCAGUCGAGCGGAUGAGAGGAGCUUGCUCCUGGAUUCAUGCGGCGGACGGGUGAGUAAUGCCUAGGAAUCUGCCUGGUAGUGGGGGACAACGUUUCGAAAGGAACGCUAAUACCGCAUACGUCCUACGGGAGAAAGCAGGGGACCUUCGGGCCUUGCGCUAUCAGAUGAGCCUAGGUCGGAUUAGCUAGUUGGUGAGGUAAUGGCUCACCAAGGCGACGAUCCGUAACUGGUCUGAGAGGAUGAUCAGUCACACUGCAACUGAGACACGGUCCAGACUCCUACGGGAGGCAGCAGUGGGGAAUAUUGCACAAUGGGCGAAAGCCUGAUCCACCCAUGCCCCGCGUGCGAAGAAGGACUUCUGAUUGGCCACCACCUUUAAUUACUAGGAAGUGCGCA
rnacentral:rRNA from 1 species